GGGAUCAUAGAUUAAAGGUAGAUCUUCUACGUUGCAUGUAGAGAAUAUCGGUUCAAUUCCGAUUGGUUCCA
rnacentral:tRNA from 2 species